GGAGGCAGAGCUGGGGCACGGACAGCGAGCCCCAUACAAGAAGAGCCAAGAGAACAACAUGGAAAUCCAGAGGACACGUGGUACUGCCUUCUUCAGACGCUCCGCUGAGUGAGGAGGCCGCUGAUUCCGGAUCUGAGGCCUCGCCCCCAGCCCCACCCCGGCUGUCACCCUCAACCCGCCUGGGCCCAGGCUUCACCCGGCAGUGGUCCUCUGGAAAGAGGUAGAGAGAGAGAGACCCGUAACAUGAACUUCCAGAACAGAAGGGAGAAGGAGGCAAGAGGCUGUCUGCAAGAUUGGGAUAGAUGUCACAUCAUAUACAGAUCCCCAGGAAGCAGGGGGGGGCCUAAACGGGGCUGGAGCCCCCAAGGAGACAAACAGACAAUACAGCAUAGACGUUGCAGUCCUUAGCAGGAGGGCUGAGAGCAUUUGGGGGCGGAGAUCACAGGUGGAGCGUGGGUUCAUGCCCCUCAGACUCCUAAGCUCUAUGGCAAGAGAUCUGCGGGAAGGGCUGAGAGAACCAAGACCGGACCAGACACCUCAGAGAGUCUGUGACUCUAGACUCCCAUGGUGGAGGAGCAGUUUUGCGGGGACUCGGUGGGACCUCCAGAAGAGUAGACACUAAAAAUCUGGGAUGCAAGCAAGGUCUUGGUUGAGGUGGGGGAUUCAGACCCUGAGAGAAAUCCCGGGCUCUGGGUCCAGUGGGCUGGGGGGAUGUCCAGUGUGGGGGUUUUCACUGAGAAAGUCCAGAAGGCCCUGAGCCGAGGCUUCCUAGGUAGGUUCCCAUCUGCGUGGCGAGACAAUGGGAGGUCCCAGCAACCCAGGCCACAGGUGGUCCAGAGCAGAGGGGUCCCCAGUAACACACAUGUUGAAAAAAAGGACCCCUUUCCCAGGCUAUCAGGUGAAUCACAGGGGACUAUGGGGGCCUGCGGGAGGAGAGCCAGCCAGGGGCUGAACAUCGUGUGGAGGGGAGCAGAAGCUGGACUCUCCAAAACAGGCUGUUAAGAUUUAAAAAAGGAAAGCCCUGAGCAUCCCUGGCUGGGACUGGCCACAAGAUUCUGCCCAUCAGCAGUGGCAGGAGUUGAGCAGGAAGGAAGCUGAUCCUGGGGUCCUAGAAACAGCUUUGGGAGUAGGGAGAGAUCCCCACUGGACCACCAAAGAAUGAAAGCAGAAAAGGGUUCUGUAUCCCGGAGAAGGGCCACAGCCUAGUGUCAGGGCCCCGGAGUGAGGCAAGGGACUCUGCUCACGUGCCCCACCUGCAUCCACGCGGGCCGAGGAGAUAAACUUGUCCAGCUGACACCGCAGGAAGUCCCUCUCCUCCUCCAGGUCCUCGAUGCGCUUCUGCAACCACGAGUUUCUCUCCAGGGCCAUGUGCAGCUGGGCCCUGACACCAUUCAUCAGGGCCACGGUUGGGGAUGUGGCAUCCGGAGACUCUAGGAACACGGGGGAACCCUGGUCACACCCCAGGCCUUAAGGACUCUGCACCCCAGCUGACUGGGGUCCCUCUGAGCCUCCCCCCCCCAGCUCACCCUCGAAGUUUCCCCGAGAGGGGCUCAGACUGUAAAAGAUCUGUGGGUCUAGGUGGGGCGUCUCAUCGAAGGGGAUGGAGAUCUCGAAGGCCUCAUCGUCUUUCUUCACUGGAGGGGAGAGGCCAGGGGUCACCCCAGGGAAGGCCCCAGCCACCUCAGACCAGCCCCCAACCACAGCAGCCCGGGGGAAGAAAGGGCAGGGAUGGGCAGGGCCCCGGGGGGGGGGGGGGUGUGUCCAAGGGUGAGGCAGGGUCCCAGCUUCCUCACGUGUCCUCCUCCGGCUGUUUCGGUCAUUCAUGGCUAGGCCUCCAGUGAACCCAGGCAGCUUGGCGCCUCAGGGGCACUGGACAGAAAGGGCAGCCACAGAUGGAGGGACAUCCCAGGGACGGUGGGGCCCAACUCUUUAAGACUCGGGGGUGGUGCGAAGGGCCAGGAUUCCUGGGUCUUUGGGAGGACACCUGGGGUUUCAAACGCCUGGGCUCCUAGGAUAGGGAGGCUGGGGGCCCAGACCCCGAGCCACUGAGAGAAGGAGUGUGCUCCCCGCGGGGUCGACAGAGCCAAGACAUCCUGGCCCGGAUGGGGCCGACCCUCAUCACGGUUCACCUCGCGGCCAAAAGAAAUGAGAGCCGCAGGGAGGAGGGGACCGUGCCCCAACUUCCAGGCAUAGAAUGGGGAUCCAGCCCACGCGCUGCGCCUCCCCACCCCCACCCCCGCACUCGUGUGGGCGAGCAGGGCCCCUCCCCGUGGUGAAGGGGGCGCGUGCGCAGUGCGGGGGAAGGUCACGCGUGGGGAUGCGCCCCCGCCCCCGCCCUUUGUCCCCCGGGUGGGAGGGGGAGCGAUGUUGGCCAGGGGUCCCUUCGUCAGAUGCACUAGGCCGCGGGACCACCCCCCACAGGUGCCAGGGGUCGGAGGGGCCAGAGCCCCGCGCUCACCCACCCGCGCGCGGAAUCCGGCCAGGGGACCGACAGCGGCGGCGCCCAUGCCCGGCGCCGGGGAGCGUCUGCAAAGUGUCGCGGAGAGUGCAGGGAAGCGCCCACCCGCCGCGGGCAGGCGGGGAGGCUGAGGCGGCAAGCCUGGGGCGGGGUAGCGGGCGGGUGGGAGAGGACAGGGACGUCAGCACUUCCCCGCCCGCCGGUCGGUGCGUUUCUCCAGGAGCCUCCGGCCCCAGGUGAGGCCCGCCGUUUGCGGCCGAGGCGCGAGCUGCACUUGCGCGACGGCCCCUUGCCACACUAUCCCCGCCCUUCGCGAAGCCCGGGUAGGGAACGUCAAGAAACUCCCAAUUCCUGGAGAGCUGGCGGCUCCGGGGUCCCCGGAGUUGGGGGAGAUGCACUGAGUCGGGCCCGGGAGAGGGAAGGAGACAACCAGGAAAGUUGAGGCACAGAGAGAAUCCUUUUCAGCGGUACCCUGGGAACUGGCCCCACGGACCCCCGUAACCCGCCCUUUCAUCUCCCGCCGUCCGUGCAUUGCCAGCACAACCGGACCUCACGCACGGUUCCUAGGACCAUGGGAGAGUAGGGGGUUACAGUUACCCUCCCUGAAAACAGGGGCCUGGAACGCCCCCAGCGCCACCCCUGUGGCAGCGAUAAUGAGCUGCUUGGGAUCAUUUAGACCCAGUCUUGGCCGCUCCUCCUCCCUACCCUCCCCGGUCCACCCCGCCCCCGCCUCAGUUUACUCACCUGUAAAGUGGGGGAGGUCACGGUCCUUUUUAGGUUCCUUGUGAGGGUGGAUGGAUAUGUGCAGGCAAAACGCUCAGGCCAGCGCCUGGCCAUAGUCUAGGCUCAAGAUCAGGGCGCUGGCAGUGGUAUUUGAGGUCAAACAGCGGGAGGCUCUUUCCCUCUCUGGGGAGUGAAUAUGGCUAAUUUGUUCUUCCACCCAAAAAGAGGUCGGAAGAAGGAAUGAGGCCCAGCACAGUGCCUGGCACAAAGCAGAAAUACGAGGACAAUUCAUUAAGAAGGCUGGUGUUUAUUCGCUUCUGGCUGGGUUCCCUGCCUCUCCUCCCAGUCUCCAGUUGCUACUGGAAUUUUCGCCAGCCCUAGGAGAUUAGGGCUUUAACCUUGCAGGAAGAGAACGUAAAUGUCUGCACCACCCCCCUCUCCUACCUGCUUCACAAUACAGAUAAACUGCUGGCUAGGUCAAAACGUCCAGGGGGAGGGACCUGCCCUAGAUCCGUGUUUUACAAACUACAGGUUCAUGGACUGGGAAUUCAAUAGGCUAGAACAGAAUGGGCAGGAGGAAGGAAAAGUGGACUGCACAUAGUAGAGAUUCAGUAUUGUUAAAGUUUUGUUUCACAUAUAGUUUGUGUGAUGUAUACUGGGUGGCCAAAUAAAAUGUUUCAUACAAUA